CCUACGGGUGGCAGCAGAGGGGAAUAUUGCACAAUGGGGGAAACCCUGAUGCAGCAACGCCGCGGGAGUGAAGAAGGUUUUCGGAUUGUAAAGCUCUGUUAGCAGGGAAGAGGAAGGACGGUACCUGCAGAGGAAGCCACGGCUAACUACGUGCCAGCAGCAGCGGUAAUACGGAGGUGGCAAGCGUUGUUCGGAAUAAAUGGGGGGAAAGGAUUCGUAGGGGGUUAAACAAGUUAUAUGGUAAAUAUAUAGGCUUAACCUGUAGAAAGCAUAUAAAACUGUUUAACUAGAGUGCAGGAGAGGUAAGUGGAAUUCCUGGUGUAGCGGUGAAAUGCGUAGAGAUUAGGAAGAACACCAGUGGCGAAGGCGACUUACUGGACUGUAACUGACGCUGAGGCGUGAUAGCGUGGGGAGCAAACAGGAUUAGAUACCCGAGUAGUC
rnacentral:rRNA from 1 species